AUUGAACGCUGGCGGCAGGCCUAACACAUGCAAGUCGAGCGGAUGAAGGGAGCUUGCUCCUGGAUUCAGCGGCGGACGGGUGAGUAAUGCCUAGGAAUCUGCCUGGUAGUGGGGGAUAACGUCCGGAAACGGGCGCUAAUACCGCAUACGUCCUGAGGGAGAAAGUGGGGGAUCUUCGGACCUCACGCUAUCAGAUGGGCCCAGGUCGGAUUAGCUAGUUGGUGGGGUAAAGGCCUACCAAGGCGACGAUCCGUAACUGGUCUGAGAGGAUGAUCAGUCACACUGGAACUGAGACACGGUCCAGACUCCUACGGGAGGCAGCAGUGGGGAAUAUUGGACAAUGGGCGAAAGCCUGAUCCAGCCAUGCCGCGUGUGUGAAGAAGGUCUUCGGAUUGUAAAGCACUUUAAGUUGGGAGGAAGGGCAGUAAGUUAAUACCUUGCUGUUUUGACGUUACCAACAGAAUAAGCACCGGCUAACUUCGUG
rnacentral:rRNA from 1 species